rnacentral:rRNA from 1 species
AUUGAACGCUGGCGGCAGGCUUAACACAUGCAAGUCGAGCGGGGGAAGGUAGCUUGCUACCGGACCUAGCGGCGGACGGGUGAGUAAUGCUUAGGAAUCUGCCUAUUAGUGGGGGACAACAUCUCGAAAGGGAUGCUAAUACCGCAUACGUCCUACGGGAGAAAGCAGGGGAUCUUCGGACCUCGCGCUAAUAGAUGAGCCUAAGUGGGAUUAGCUAGUUGGUGGGGUAAAGGCCUACCAAAGCGACGAUCUGUAGCUGGUCUGAGAGGAUGAUCCGCCACACUGGGACUGAGACACGGCCCAGACUCCUACGGGAGGCAGCAGUGGGGAAUAUUGGACAAUGGGGGGAAGCCUGAUCCAGCCAUGCCGCGUGUGUGAAGAAGGCCUUAUGGUUGUAAGCACUUUAAGCGAGGAGGAGGCUCCUUUAGUUAAUAACUAGAGAUAGUUGACGUUACUCGCAGAAUAAGCACCGGCUAACUCUGUGCCAGCCGCCGCGGUAA